rfam:Tupaia chinensis contig173877, whole genome shotgun sequence.
CUCGCCACUGCACCUGACCAGUCCUGUUGGCUGAUGCAAUUCAGUGGUGCACUGAUAGCAAACCCCAGUUUAUAAAACAGGGUUGUCCUUCAAAGGGAUGACUCUAUGCCAAACACAUGGGAACAGCA